GGUGACCAAAACUGAGUUGGAAGUAGUUGUCAUCAGCCUCAUCUUCAGAUUCAUCAUCAUUUCUUCGACUAUAUCUUCUUCCUCUACCAUGUGCAACCAUCCAAUUCCUCCCACCUCCUCUUCUUCCAUCACUAUCUUCUCUAUCUCCACUAUGGUUGCUUGCACCAUGAUGAGGUGGACGAUGCCUUCUGAUUUCAGUCAUAAGAUUCUAAAGAUCUUGUGUCAACCUAUCUUGCUUUUCUUCCAUGCUUUGUCGGAGUUUAUUAAAUUGUGCUAUGGUAACACGAUCUUUGAUGUCCACUUGACCCAUCUUCCUGUAAGGUUAGCUAAAUACGAAUAAUUUAUAUUUGUGGAAUAUAAAAAUUUGGUGGCUCUCACAACUCACCUCUCUAACCACCAAAGCUCUUAUGAAUUCCUCUGCUGUAG
rnacentral:lncRNA from 1 species